AGAAGAGGCCCUGUGAAGAUAUUGGAAGACAGGUGUCUACAAGCCAGGAAGAGAGGCCUUGCCAAAAUCCAACCCUGAUGACAAUUUGAUCUUGGACUUCUGCCCCUGGAACUUGAAAUGUUAGCGCUACUGCUGCCAACUUUCCACCCGCUUUGGAGGAAGCUGGAGUACCAGAGGGAGGCAGACCGUACAGAAGCAGAAAAAGCAUUGUCUCAAGGCUCACCCCCAAAGCAUUAAAAAGGCAUUUCACUCAGCAAAAGAAUAUUUUGAUUAUGCAAAACAGAUGUCACAUCCCAGCCCCGUGUUGCUAAGUCUCACAAGAGAACAUCUUGAACUGCAACGAAAUUAUGAAGCCACAUAAAAGGUUUCUCCCUCACUGUCCCUCGUCUUCUAAUACUAAAGAAGCAACUAAAGAAGAUUUUGCAAAUCAUUAUAAUUUUUAUGUAAUAGGUAAUUCAUUUAUUUCCCUAAUUUUUUAUAAUGGAUGUGGAUUGUUUUCAUACUCAGAAAAGGAGUUAUUUUUUAAAUAGUAAAGUUAAUUGAGCCUUAAUCUUUUAUUCCUUGGAAGUAGAAUUUUGCCCUCAAAUCCCUAAGAUAAACUAAAUAUUUGCAUGACAUCCUAGUAAGAGAAACUACUGGCUGAUUUUUGAAAAAUGAAAUUCAAGUUACUCAAUCAAGAAAAAAAUUUGCUGUCUUCUCUCUCCAUAAUUUCCCUCCUUCUUAAUCAUACUUUACC